GCUGCAACUUGUCUUUUUUAAACAGCAAAAGCCUCUCUUCUAAUGAAGUCUGACGCAGACUCUCAAGAGGCAAGAGAGAGAUGAGUGAGAGCCUCUGGCUGAAGCCAGUGCACGGGACCCAGAGCCACACACCACCCCCUGCCCUGACCCCACAGCUGCCCCCGAGGCUUCUCCAUCACCAGCCACAGCCCCAGCAUCUGAGCACACAGGGGCCUUCCCUCCUCCGAAGAUGCUACCUCCUGGGGCCGAAGCCGAUGGACCCCACAUCAUCACGGGGACGGCUCCGCUUCUGGUCCCAUCACAGUAAAAAGGGAUCAACAUGCAGGAAGGGAGAUGCACUUAAAGCCCAUUUGUUCUCAGUGGCAUCAUUUUAAUUGCUCAGCCACCCCAGCCAGGGCAUCCUGAGAGCCCAGACUGGAGAGGAAGGCUCCAGGCCCCAGGAUGUGGCCAGAACUGUUCCGUACGGGCUCUCUGGCCAUCGUCCCAUCCCAGCUUUAGGCCCGGCAGUGCAGACACAGUUAGGACACGGAAAGCCCCUGCUAUGAGCUGUGCCUGCCGCAGGCUUUAAGCACUUUCUCUCCAGCACUUCUGAGGGAGGACCCAAAGGGAGCCUGGAUGUGACCCCGCCAAGCUGGGGGUGGCUCAGCCUGUCCCCAGAGAGGCCUCUGUGGCCGGCACACCCUGCCGUCCUCCCUGGAACAUGCCCUCCCAGGGGGCCCAGCCUUGGCCGACUGCAGGAUUUGAGAGAGCACAAGACAAGCCUGGGUGACAAAGAGGAGGACGGAGAGCCAGGGACAGAUUGUUAUAAAUAGGCAUGUGUGACUGAGAAGGUCACCAGCCAGAGUGAAACAUGCCAGAAAUCCUACAAGAGAGGGACGGAUGAAAAUCAUCUGAGCAUCUCACAAACCUCUCUGUCUCGGGAUGGAGAACAGGAGCGGGUUCCAAGACAAAGCAGGGGUGAGAAGGUGCCCACAGCACCCCGCGCCCGCCCGCCCCGGCCAGCAGCUGGAAAGGCUCUUCAAUUAAAGAGGCACUUUUCCAUCUUUCCAUCGCAGUGAUUUCUUCAAGGGGCUGGCUUUUCUUGACACUCCUGGACUGGCCGAGGGAUCAGGAGAACAAGAGGGUCAGGAGGCACGAGGAGGCUCCUGGGAC
rnacentral:lncRNA from 12 species